rnacentral:rRNA from 1 species
CUUGAACGCUGGCGGCAGGCCUAACACAUGCACGUCGAACGGUAACACGCAGCGUCUUGCUUCUUUGCUGACGAGUGUCGGACGGGUGACUAGUGUCUUCUAAACUGCCUGACGGAGGGGGAUAUCUCCUGGAAACGGUAGCUAAUACCGCAUAACGUCGCAAGACCAUCGAGGGGGACCUUCGGGCUUCUUGCCAUCCGAUGUGCCCAGAUGGGGUUAGCUAGUAGGUGGGGUAACGACCCCCCUAGGCGACGAUCCCUCGCUGGUCUGAGAGGAGGACGAGCCGCACUGGAACUGAGCCACGGUCCAGACUCCGACGGGAGGCAGCGGUGGGGAAUAGUGCACAAUGGGGGGAAGCCUGAUGCAGCCAUGCCGCGUGUAUGAAGAGGGCCUGCGGGGUGUAAAGUACUUUCAGCGGGGAGGAAGGGAGUAGAGUUAAUACCGUUGCUCAUUGACGUUACCCGCAGAAGAAGCACCGGCUAACUCCGUG